rnacentral:tRNA from 1 species
GGCUCCGUAGCUUGGGGGAAAGAAGCGCCUGUCUAGCGCAUUGGAAGUCGUGGGCUCGAUUCCCACCGGAGCAC